GGGAAGACAGGUAGAGGGAGGGGAGACAGGUAGAGGGAGGGGAGACAGGUAGAGGGAGGGGAGACAGGUAGAGGGAGGGAAGACAGGUAGAGGGAGGGAAGACAGGUAGAGGGAGGGAAGACAGGUAGAGGGAGGGAAGACAGGUAGAGGGAGGGAAGACAGGUAGAGGGGGAAGACAGGUAGAGGGAGGGGAGACAGGUAGAGGGAGGGGAGACAAGUAGAGGGAGGGGAGACAAAUAGAGGGAGGGAAGACAGGUAGAGGGAGGGGAGACAGGUAGAGGGAGGGGAGACAGGUAGAGGGAGGGAGACAGGUAGAGG